rnacentral:rRNA from 1 species
UACGAAGGGGGCUAGCGUUACUCGGAAUUACUGGGCGUAAAGGGCGCGUAGGCGGCUUGGUAAGUCAGGCGUGAAAUUCCCGGGCUCAACCUGGGGACUGCGCUUGAGACUGCUGGGCUAGAGGAUGGAAGAGGGUCGUGGAAUUCCCAGUGUAGAGGUGAAAUUCGUAGAUAUUGGGAAGAACACCGGUGGCGAAGGCGGCGACCUGGUCCAUUACUGACGCUGAGGCGCGACAGCGUGGGGAGCGAACAGG